UUCUCAGAGUGUGAAUAAAAUAAAUUUAUUUACAGACGUCAAGAGAAAGUUAGCAGUUAUUUGCUGGCUGUGAUUUUAGAAGAAUACGAAUGCAUCUAUCGCAGAAUAGUUUUUCAGCAUUAAAUAUAGAAACUCGAACUUUUUAUAUUCAUUGGUUUCGCUCCAAUAUAAUCGGAUUACUAAAAACUGAUAAGUUUGAAACAAAUAUUUCGUAAUGUUUCGUAAUGAACAAAGAAAAUAUAGAAUAUCACCUCUAGUGCAGGGUAUUUCCUGGUCAAGCACUUCCGACUAAAACACGCUUACUCUAUGAAUUACAGUAAUAAUUUUCGGAAAUUGGAACAGCUGAAUAAAUAUAGAAAAAGUGCAUAAACAUAGGAAACUUUCCGAUCUCAAUCAGUUGCAGUUACAAGCUUCAGAGUGCAACAUGUCUAAGGUACUUGUGAUAGCUCUAUUGGUAUUAGUGCAAGCUAUCUGUUUGCUAGCAGAUACAUCAAAUCUAAGGAAACUCAUCAGAGAUAUCAGAAUGAAACUAUUUGAUCUGAUUGAGGAUUUACGUAACAGUUAAUUGGAUUACUGGAAUAUUAU